GCCCUAUGAUGAUAGACCAAAGGCUUGUUUCUGAACAUUCGCAGUAGCCGCCUAAGAGCUUUCGCCUUGCCAGGCUUGCGAGCUAAUGCUGCUAAUUCCUUCCUUGGAUGUCUGAGGGC
rnacentral:snoRNA from 2 species